AGCCCGCCCUGCCCACCCGGUUUUUUCGAAUGAGGUGGGUCCAACCGUCAAGCCUGAUACUAGGAGUGCAUGCGCAGUGGUAGGGCCGUGCAAUUACUUUUAUAUUGACAGGUCACAUGGUACAGGUGAUGGUCACAUCAUCCAGGUGGGGCUGCACAUUGGUGGAGGGGAGUCCCCAUUACCUGUAAAGCAUUUUGAGUGGAGUGUCCAGAAAAGCACUAUAUAAGUUAGACCAUCCUGUCCUGACUGAAGCAUCUCACCCCCCAGUUGUUUCUUGAAAGAAGCCAGGGUAUCAGCUUCAACAACAUGGCUGGGCAGCUUGUUCCACACUCCCACAACCCAAAUAAGAAGAUCUACCAGGUGCCAAGGGGAUGGUCUAUUGUGUUAAUAUUCCAGAACAAAACACAAAC